AUUAAUGUAUAAUCCCCUGAAAACAAGAAGCAUUGUGAUUUUGCAAACUUAGAAUGAGCUGUUUAUAUCUACAGAGGGAGCGGUCAUGUUUCUACAGUAGCCCAGAAGGGACAAACCAAGCAUUGGAGAGGUGGCUUUUUCACUUCCUUGUACGUGGUUGAUCCGUUUCUCGUUAUAUUGUACAUACUUUCCACUAUAUUCUUUUCAGAGUAUCACGUUCUUAUUCUAUCUCAUCAGGUGAAGCCGGAGGAGAGACUGAGCUUUCUUCACGGAUGUGUUCUGCUCUUGUGCUGCAAGUGAGAUGUCGAACACACAGAAAUGUGAAUGAAAUGAGUGAGCGUUCUGGUUGGCAUUAUUUCUGCAGCACAACAAGGCAGCGCAUUGUCCAUCUGAGACCUCACGAUAAUGGAGGCUUCACCGCCUUUCACAUGAGACCAAUGAAUCCAACGAUGUCACACAACAACAAACCUGUUUCAGUCACAAACAACCGUCACCUGGAGCCCAAACACCUGCUGGAGGGCAACUUCCAGUUCACCGGGAAGAAUGGAACUCACGUAAUCUUUGACAGAAUUUACUUGACUGUAUGUUAGAGUGAAAGAUCUUUCGACGUUAAAAAACGUAAUUUUUUAUUUUGAGAAUACAUGCACAUUAUAAAAAACUCAAGGUCUCACACAUUAGUUUAUACCGGAGCUCUCAACCGUAUCCAACAGCCACAGAGCAAACUCCACAAGAUACGGUCAAAGGUUUUGCAUAUUUGACCACAGAUAUGUUUAUGAGUGAGGUUGUUAAUAGUGGUGGUGAUUCUGAAGUGAAUGAUGUAGUGUUUAUAAUGACUACGUGUCGAGUGUAUAAUCAGCUGGUAAACAUGUGAUGUUAAAGAUUAGCUGCACUUACAACCAGCUAAAACAAUAAAAUGCUGCUUACAGUGUUGCCUUUCUAAACUAAACUACCUUUUACAGCGAACAUCUUUGUAUUUGGUUUAAAUGUUGAAUGCAGGAUGCUAGUAAUGGAGUUUUUGUAAUGCAACUUUAUACUACUUCCACUGCUGCCAGUAAUUCAAAUUCAGCAAAUGUGUUAUUUGUUGAAUCCAAAUAUAUUCAAUUUCAAGCAAACAGUCACAUAUUUGUCUCUUUUGCUUAAUUCACCAGUUAACUCAAAGGUCUACCGACAUGUCUCUGGGGAUUAAAGCAAACAACACAGUGAAUGCACUCCGGUGUUGACUCAGGGAGCAGCGCUUUUAUUGCAGGUUGUCUGAAGCGGUAUCUCUGUUUGGGAGGCGCUUCACAGCUGUUGGGCCACAGACAGGGCUGCGGAGAUGAAGACCGGAGUCUGCCAAGUCUGUGGUCACACGGCCUGGUGCUGCCAGGCAGGUGGGCCAACCACUCGGAGCCCCCUUUCAACACCAAAUGUGUCCCAGGUCCCCAAGAUGUGUCGGUGCCCUUGAACUGAACCUAUAACUGCCAAAAAUAUCACACAUCAAAACUUUAUGUUGAGGUUGUAAUUCAUUCAAUAUAACGUCUCAAUUUAGAAUGAAUGGCCUUUGAAACCGUUUUAUUAAUAGCGGCUGUGCACGCUGAUGAAACAGCACAAUGUACCCUCAACUCUGAGGCCACUUCCAAUCUGCAAUGUCCUGAUCGGUUGCAGCGAUUUGCUCUCAGGUUUCUCAAGAUAUUAGCGUGUCUCGGGAGACGUGUGCAUGCAGAAUAUCAAUGUCAUGGUUCAAGCUCUUUGAAAUCGGUUUGGUUGGAGCGUGCAGUGGAAAAUACUAUUUCAAAGCAUAUAUUCGAGGAGAUAUCACUCAUUUGAUGCAACAAAUAUCGAACAAAAAAAACAAGCAUUUAAGUGUCAUAUAUAAGUAGCUUUAAAAAUGUUCUUAAAACACUUGAUAGUGUCAAAGGAAUAUUCGGAUAAGAAUAAAUUGAAGAUUGAUACUAUUCUCAUGUCUGUCGGUGAAAUAAAAGAUCAAGCCGGAAGCCAAUUAGCUUAGCUUACGUUAGCCUAUAUUAGCAUAGCGUAGAGACUAGAAACAAGGCCGACACAGCUGCCUCCGGCUCUGACGUAACCUCUGAGGCUCAUUCAUUUACAUUUCUAUUUUAUGCACAAAAAUAAUGAAAUCGAAGCGGAUUGCGUGCUGAACUAUUUCUCAUCCGGAAGCAGAAACGUCCUGGGCUGAUGUUUUUUUUGUAUGAAUUUAACAAACAAGAUUACAAUGUGUUGGUUAGUGAGCUUUUAAGGCGCUGGAAUUUUUGCCGCCAUUAGACAACGCAAAGCUCGCGGAUGUGUUUAGCGUUUAUGCUAACCAGCCGUGGGCUGUAGAUUCAUGUUCAACGAAGAUGAGUAACCAACUUCUCGAACACGUGGCAAUAAAGCAGAUUUCCUAGACUGUCGAGCUUUUGCUUUACGUUUGGGCCCCAUAGUAAAUGAAAUUAAUGUAGAUUUGAUUGCUGCGUAUUAAAAAAGGUUAAAAAUGGAGUAGGUAUAGAAAAAACUGUUUUUAUUCACAUUCAUUCAUUGUCUGGCCAGCUGUCACAAAUUUGCUUGACCCAUUUUAUCCAAGUGGACUGAGGCACAGUGACCAGCACAGCCAUUUUGAUUUGCAGCCAUUUGUUUGGCCCAUUGAGUGAAAAAAGAAAACUGGCCUCACACCAAAGAGCUCAGGCAGCACGUUUCAUGCCAACUCUUAAACUCUGGCGAGAACAGAAGAGCACUAGUUUGUUUGAACAUGUCUGCCCUAGACUUUUCUCCUGGCUACCCUUCAUCACGCCACAAUCAUAUCACCGAUGUGCCUUUGAGAGAAAAAAAAGGGGGAAAAAGCCAAUGCCACCGGAUUGGCUGCUUGUGGUGGAGCUGUUGCUAAGGGGAGGGUUUUACUCCGUGAUGGAUGUGGCAGCUGGUGAGGGCCAGUUUGAGCAACACGUAUAGCAAUUUAAUGUUUAAUUAACGCUCCAUGUGUUUAUGUGAUCAAUAUCCUCUGAAUAGACAAAAUCCUGCAGUUUUUUGGUUUAUGUUCUGUGCCAUCUGUUUAAACAGAGUUCGACUCACCUAAAUACAGUCUCAUCACUUAUGAGCCAAUGCACUUACAGCUUUUAUAACCGCCUCAGUUGUUCGCACCAUUUGACAUGAUUAGAGGACUGUAAAUGUCAACAAAAAUAUUUUAACACUGGCAAUAAAACCAAAACAGGAUGUGCCGAGGGUUUGGUUACACCUGGACAAGUGUCUUGACAGCAUAGCCACAAUUUAAUAGCUGUAAAAAACCUAGUUACAUUUAAAAAAAAAUGUAAUUCGGUUUGUGGCCAUUUUCUAAAGAAUUAAAACAAAGUGACACGCAUUAAGUGUGCUAACUUGCAGGAACUGCACACAUAAAUAUUUACUUUACUACACGAACCGAGCUGCAGGAUAUUCCUGCAGGAAAGUUGCCUUCAAGCACAAGUGCAUUCAGAAGGGCAACGGCACAACAUGCAUUUAGUUAAAGUCCGGUUAAGAGCUGCGACGUCUUUAAAUAGUCUCCUUUAGGUAAAUCCUCAGCAAAGCACUUUAAAGCCUUUAACAUUAUACAAGCUGCUAAACGUGACCUACAAAGUAACAGCAAGUCAAGUCACUAGUUUACGUGUCAAAAUGCAUCAUGACAUUCCUGUGCAGCUCCAAGCACUGACGAGAGUUCUCAACAUCCUUCCUGUGCGCAGUGACAAACAAAGCAAAAUAAAGUUUCCAAUUAUUUAUUUCAGUUUAACCGUUUCAAUAUAAAAUGUGAAAUAUUCAAGGACAGACAAAUUAAUAAUAUCAUAAACACCGUGAUGAACCAUUUAAGCAGUCAGACAAUGAGGAGUAACUGGACAGGGCUUGAGGGUAUCAAAAGAAAAAGUCAAGGUACACCAUGCUACAGUAAUACCAAGUGGAACAAUUUAAAAACCUCUGCAGGUUUUAGAGCCCUUCAGCUCAGCGUUAAAAUUUGAUAUAUAAAAAAAAAAAGGAGGGACAGAAUAACCAGCAUUCAAUUUCUCCUAUAGUCAGAAACCUUUUAUUCACAAUCUGGUGACCAAUUAAUCUUCAAACUUGAAAUGAAAAGACAAAAAAGGGGCGGGCAGAUAUC